rnacentral:rRNA from 1 species
GAGUUUGAUCAUGGCUCANCCCUUUNGCUGGCGGCGCGCCUAACACAUGCAAGUCGAGCGNCUNNCUUUUUAAGGAUUCUUCGGAUGAAUUAAAAAGUGGAGAGCGGCGGACGGGUGAGUAACGCGUGAGAAACCUGCCCUAUACAGGGGGAUAGCCAUUGGAAACGAUGAUUAAUACCCCAUAUGACCACAGUAUCGCAUGAUACAGCGGUGAAAACUCCGGUGGUAUAGGAUGGUCUCGCGUCUGAUUAGCUAGUUGGUGGGGUAGCGGCCUACCAAGGCGACGAUCAGUAGCCGGCCUGAGAGGGUGACCGGCCACACUGGAACUGAGACACGGUCCAGACUCCUACGGGAGGCAGCAGUGGGGAAUAUUGCACAAUGGGCGAAAGCCUGAUGCAGCGACGCCGCGUGAACGAUGAAGGCUUUCGAGUCGUAAAGUUCUGUUCUUGGGGAAGAUAACGACGGUACCCAAGGAGAAAGCACCGGCUAAAUACGUGCCAGCAGCCGCGGUAAUACGUAUGGUGCAAGCGUUGUCCGGAAUUACUGGGCGUAAAGAGUUCGUAGGCGGUUAGAUUAGUCAGAAGUGAAAGGCUACGGCUCAACCGUAGUAAGCUUUUGAAACUGUCUAACUUGAGUACUGGAGAGGAAAGCGGAAUUCCUAGUGUAGCGGUGAAAUGCGUAGAUAUUAGGAAGAACACCAGUGGCGAAGGCGGCUUUCUGGACAGUAACUGACGCUGAGGAACGAAAGCGUGGGGAGCGAACAGGAUUAGAUACCCUGGUAGUCCACGCCGUAAACGAUGAGAACUAGGUGUUGGGGGUCGAACCUCAGUGCCGCAGCUAACGCAGUAAGUUCUCCGCCUGGGGAGUACGAUCGCNAGANUUGAAACUCAAAGGAAUUGACGGGGGCCCGCACAAGUAGCGGNANCAUGUGGGUUAAUUCGAAGCAACGCGAANAACCUUACNAGGUCU